rnacentral:lncRNA from 1 species
UAUUACUCACCAUCUUAAUAUCUUAAAAUUUUACUUGUCGACUGAAAUAUUCAUGAUUUUUUUUUUUAUCAUGCAACUAUACAUAUUCAUGAUGACGUCGAAAGAUUUACUUUAGCAAACCACCUUGCAAGUUUCAGAAGUAGUAGAAUCGAAUCUGAUAUCAAGGACAACAAACAAAUAAAAAUAAAGUAGAAUUCGAAGAGGCAAAUCUAUGGGAUAAUGUGAAUAGAUUCGCGGGAUGUAUAAAAACCAUGUGAAAGAUGAAAGAGCAAUGAAUCGACUUGAAUAACUUCUUAAGCUAGCCUUGCAUUCAUUGGAUUCUUAUUGGCUGCC